GACGAACGCUGGCGGCGUGCUUAACACAUGCAAGUCGAACGGAAAGGCCCUGCUUUUGUGGGGUGCUCGAGUGGCGAACGGGUGAGUAACACGGGAGUAACCUGCCCUUGACUUUGGGAUAACUUCAGGAAACUGGGGCUAAUACCGGAUAGGAGCUCCUGCUGCAUGGUGGGGGUUGGAAAGUUUCGGCGGUUGGGGAUGGACUGGCGGCUUAUCAGCUUGUGGGUGGGGUAGUGGCUUACCAAGGCUUUGAGGGGUAGCCGGCCUGAGAGGGUGACCGGCCAGGCUGGAUUGGGAGUGCGACACGGACCCCACUGGGAGGGAAGGGAGGAGUGAGUAAAAAAGGGGACGGGGCGCAAGACUGACACAGCGACGCGGGGGGAGAGAACCUGUGGGUUGGAAUGUAAUGCCCCCUGAGAAGAGACGAUAGUGACGGUAAUUGAAAAAGAAGCACCGGCUAAAUACGU
rnacentral:rRNA from 1 species